AACAAACUCCAAAUUAAAUAACCAAUUCAAUUAAAUUAUGGACAAAAGAAACUAAAAACCUCAACAUUACAUCAUAUCGGAGCAAGCUUUGAAUAUGAAACAAUAUUGUCCGAAUUUCAUGACAAUCAGAAGAAGAAAUUGUUCUGCCCCAAAUAAUGGUGAAAAAGCAACAGAUUUCGAUCCAUUUUAUCCUCCAAUCCAUUUUACUGAACAAAAGAAGAAGUGCAGACUUCGAUCUACUAGACUCAAACUUUAAAUUCAUCUCCACAUUUCACACAAAUUACAACAAUUUAACAAACUCGCAAUAGAACGCAAAAAUAGCUUCCAAUCAAUCGUGGAAAUGAAAGGGAUGAACUAGAACAAUUCGAUACAAAUCUUAUCCAAACAACUAUGAGCUUUAUAUUAUUCCACCAAAUUGCAAUACCUGAUUACAACAGCACAAAGACAAACAGAGAAUAAGCCUCUCUAAAAUGAAUCAGAAUUCAACUGAUUUGCUGCUCCGGAAUCGGAUCGGGAUAUGACAAAGACAAACGGAACUUCAACAUGGGGGCUUGCUGGAAGUUCUUCAACCUCGAAGCUGGCCGGAAAGUAAAUAAUGAGAGGUGUGACCUUGUAUGUGCAUGUAUGGUUGCUUAGGGUGGGCUACUGUUGUGGGUCGUUUGGUUCUGUUUGUGUUUUGAACGUGAGUGUGUGUGUUUUGUGAAGGAGAUGACACGCAGUGAGGGGUCGUUCGUUUCUGCUCAAUUGCGGUUGUCUCUCUUGUGUAUUUUCAGCUGGUUCAAUGUUGAGAUCUCAAAGAAAACAUGAUGGGGUGUGUGGAAGACGAAAAAACAGGGGGUGGGGUUGUUGGUGCUGAGAAUUGCGGUUGAUCUCAGUCGUCUCUUAUUCAGACCCCCAUUUUUUGAUUUUUUAGGCGUAGGUUUAUGAAGGC
rnacentral:lncRNA from 1 species